rnacentral:tRNA from 2 species
CGAGCGCGUGGUCAGAUGGGUGCGACGCUGACAUCGUUGUCCCCGUGUCGGCGCGAGUGGUGCCGUGGCUGUUCGACUCCGUCGCGGCCGUC